rnacentral:rRNA from 1 species
CUCGGUGGCCAUAGCGGAGGGGAAACACCGGUUUCCAUCCCGAACACACAGGUUAAGCCCUCCAGCGCCGAUGGUACUAGGGGACAUCCCUGGGAGAGUAGGUCGCUGCCGAGA